ensembl:lncRNA
CCCAGGUCCCCAGUCCUCCGGGUCCCCAAGUCCCAGUCCUCCAGUCCCCCAGGUCCCUUCUACACCUGCCAGAUAUACGUCUAGAUGACAUCCAGCGACUUGCAGGCAGAUUUACACUCACGCCACAUUCUACACUCGAUAAAGGAAGAAGAAUUCUUCAUGGAGAAGUAUCUGUGUGGUCAUGACCCGGCGCAGCUCACGUUAGUGGAGGAGUUAGGAAAACGGUAGAUGUUAGCUUUCUCUUCUGCAGACAGAAAGCCCUUAUUGUUGAUUAAUUUACCGUAAUGCAGACCACACACUCUUCUUUUAGCCGAGUUUCCAUAUUACCAAUGUUAUCUACAGAUUGUGUAUUCUUAGAUAAAUGUCAGUGACGUAAUCGCUUAGCUUAGUUUAGGAUCUUAGCGGGUUUAAAGCAAAAAAUAAAUGUAUUAAGUAAAUAAAUAAUGAUGAAACACUCCAGUAUAGCUCCCAGUAUAGCUCCUGUCCUGGGUGAAGUGUCCGGAUUGUUGCCCGGGAACGAGCAGCACCGAGCCAGACGCUUCACCCAGGAAACACGGAGGCCACGACCCUGAUGGUGACGCUGAGAUACGAGCUACACCGGGAUUUUUCAACAAACAGUGAGUGCGUUUCAUUAUUAUUAUUAUUAUUAUUAUUAUUAUUAUUAUUAUUUCAUUUAAAAGUGCUAAGACCACAAGCUAAGCUAGGCUAAUCUAACUGGCGAAGGUAGAUAUCUGAGCACACACCGCUUCUCCUUCGUCUCGCGGGAUAUGAUGCACACGUACACUGAUGAAUGUUAUAUAAGAUCGCUUCAGAACAUUUCAUUUUUGCAGCAAGAAAAACGGUUUUGGAUUCUGGACUCUGAUUGGUCAGAAGGUGUUGAUUAGUUUUCUAUAACAGCAGCUCUGAGAGUAAGCUCCCUCCAUCUCUCUCUCUCUGUCUGUCUCUCUCCCUGCAUACAUCUCUCUCCCUCCAUCUCUCUCUCUCUUUCUCUCUCUCCCCAUCUCUCUCUCCCUCAAUCUCUCUCUCUUUCUCUCUUUCUCCCUCCAUCUCUCUCUCUCUCUCUCUCUCUCUCUCUCUCUCUCUCUGGCUGCUGUGUUUCUUCAGCCUCUUCUCUGCCGAAAGCCGUAUUGUGGUAACGGAGAGGAGUAAGAGUGCUGUGCAUGGGGAGUUAGGUGCGGUUUUGGACGCUGAGCUGAGGAAAAUGUGACUGAGCCACAUUGUAUUUGCUCUUCUCCCAACAUGUAUGAAAAAAAAUUAAAAAGAAAAGCGAGAGAGAGAGAGAGAGAGAGAGAGAGAGAGAGAGAGAGAGAGAGAGCGUAGAGCAGCAGUAAGUCUUAAAUUUAGAACAGACCUCCUUUCAAGGGCAAUGAUUCGCUGAAUGAGAAGAGAGGAGGAUCAACAUCAGUGUUAAAAGACGAGUGCUGUGCUGCCUCUCUCUCUCUCUCUCUCUCUCUCUCUCUCUCUCUUUUUUCAGUUUUCUGACUUUUUUUUUUUUACAUUUUUUUUCCUCCACAUCGGGAAUCUGCCAAGAGCCGCCUGUGUCCAAACGCUGAGGCUCCCGCCAUCUGCAGCAAAUGUGGUCCAUUAAAGCAAUACCAUAUGGACGACAAGCUCUCGCUAUUAACACGGCUUCUGGACGCUCUGCCAUCUUCCCAACACACACACACACACACACACACACACACACACACACACACACAGCAGGCUCUCAUAUUUUAAAACUUUGGGACGAACUCAUGCAGGGUGUGUGGGCUCGAGCGCUGAAGCCAGUGAUUCUGUCAUUUUAUGAAGCUUUGCCUACAGCUUCCAUGGAGAGAUGCUCUUCAUUCAACACUCUGUAGAUCUUUGAUGGCUACCAGAGAUAAUGGAAAGAGAAAAAAAAAAAGCACUUGAACAGCGCUAUGAAUCUCUCCCUGCUUUUAAUAUAACAAGGAGGGGAAGUGAGGUUUUAAAGCCUUAGCAAAUGGCUGUGAGUCAAAUCAGGCACAUCAGAUCUUCCACCCCGAUGAUGACUGGUUUCUUCAAGAAGUCAAGAUGCUGGAAAAACCAAAGGGUGUGGAGAUGUGGUGAGGAGAUGGUGGAUCUAUCCGUGCAACACUAGCCAACACCCCCUCGGAGAGAGAGAGAGAGAGUGAGAGAGAGAUGUGAGGGAACCCAUCCACACAUUAUAUAAAGCCUCUUCUCUUCUCAGCGACAUGACGGUAAAGCUCGCGUCUCUGUUCUCCCACACACACACACACACACACACACACGGUGGGGAACAUACACAACGCAAAUCAAUUACACCUCUGUGAUUUGUCUCCCCCAACCCCUGAGUCUCACAGCAUUCCUGUUUGUUGAUUUUCUGCCCCAGAACGCGUACGCCGACACGUUCACAAUUAGACAGAGAGAGAAAAAAACAGAGAUGUUUCACAACUGUCCUUUCAAUGCCUUUCCAAUGCCACAGAAGACAGGUAUUAGUAAAAAGAAAAAACACACGCACACACACACACACACACACACACACACACACACACAAUGGGCCUCAUUUAUCAACCUCUUAGUAAAAUCUGUACAUAUUGACACUACGCUCACCUUCUUUGUUGAAAAUGAUCACACUCAUUCACGGCAUAAUUUACAUUUAGCCACGCCCACAAAACCCCAUAAAAGCCGAAGCUCAUCUUCGCGUCCGAAGGGUAGCCCGCGCUAAAACUUCCAAUAGUGCAGCUCAGCCACUGCAGCGCAAACGCUUCCUCCUUUUUUUUUUUUUUUAGGGCGCCAAUACUUUUUGUCCCAGUUGUACAGGUAGUCGUAAUUAUUAUGUCUCGUUUGCUUUCUUUCAAGUCGCUGAUAUGAAACGACCCAAAACCAGCAAAUUGGUGUUGAAGUGAUUUAAACGUGUCUUUCGAGAUUCUCCUGAGCAUGUAUUAAAGAUCAGACUGAGCUCUGAUUGGCCAGAAAUGCUCACGGAACACAAUAUAAUUUGCAUAUUGCAGUCUUCUGUGAUUUCAGUAUUCCAAUAAUGAUAUAUAUUAUAUAUAUAUAUAUAAAUAAUGAUAUAGCUAUAUAACGAUAUAUCACACUGUUCUAUAUCCUCAGAGUUAAAAUUAGCGUAUUAAAUACUUUUUUUUUUUGUGUAGAAUUAAGGUCCAUUUGUCUUGCGCCUUGACUGAUUUCCAGACCAAGAGCGCUCGCUCCAACACCGUGUCACACAGGCGCAUACCUGCGGGUGUUUUCAUUUCACACGAUUAAUUAAUCAAUGACUGCGAUGGAGGAAGUCUCGUGGAGAGAGAUUGAUGGGGAAAUGCAUGAGGAUAAUCAGUUCUGACAAGAGCACACACACACACACACAAAUACACAUGCACAUACACAUGCACACAUGCACAAACACACACACACAUGACUAGUCUUAGAUUACAUUUAGCAAUGACAAGCACAGCCACAAAAAAAACCCAGAUCACUUCUUGCACCGAUGUCAUGCGUACAUUGUAAAGACCGUGUGUUGUGUCAGAAUGUAACAAAGGGCUUUAUAUUUUGUAACAAUGUAUCUAAACACUCCGUGUCAGGUAACAGUGUAACAACAUCCACGACACGCUGUGUAACAUAGGCCAGGUCUCAUAUAACAAUUUAAUAAAAGACUCCUGUUACAACGUAGCAAAAGACACUGUAUUGUAUUACAAAUUUCUUGUAAGAGUGUAACUAGUGACACCUUAUCAUGUACAAAUGCAACAAAAGACUGUUGUGGUAACAGUGCAGCAUAAUUCUUGUAACAACAUAACUAAAGUCUCUGUCUAGUGUAACAACCUAACUAAAGAUUCAGUACUGUAUAACUACAUAACUAAAGAUUCAGUACUGUGUAACAACAUAACUAAAGAUUCAGUACUGUGUAACAACAUAACUAAAGAUUCAGUACUGUGUAACUACAUAACUAAAGAUUCAGUACUGUGUAACAACAUAACUAAAGAUUCAGUACUGUGUAACAACAUAACUAAAGAUUCAGUACUGUGUAACUACAUAACUAAAGAUUCAGUACUGUGUAACUACAUAACUAAAGAUUCAGUACUGUGUAACAACAUAACUAAAGAUUCAGUACUGUGUAACAACAUAACUAAAGAU